rnacentral:rRNA from 1 species
UACGUAGGGGGCUAGCGUUGUCCGGAAUCAUUGGGCGUAAAGCGCGCGUAGGCGGCCCGGUAAGUCCGCUGUAAAAGUCCAGGGCUCAACCCUGGAAAGCCGGUGGAUACUGUCGGGCUCGAGUCCGGAAGAGGCGAGUGGAAUUCCUGGUGUAGCGGUGAAAUGCGCAGAUAUCAGGAAGAACACCAAUGGCGAAGGCAGCUCUCUGGGACGGUACUGACACUGAGACGCGAAAGCGUGGGGAGCGAACAGG